AUGGGUGAUGCCUUACAAGCUGAAGCACAUGCAGCUCUUAAUGCAGUUUGGUGUGCAUCAGAAAUGGAAUGCAGGCGUAUAAUCAUGGAAACAGACGCUCUAAACCUGAAACAAGCUAUCACUAGCAGCGAUUUUGACUGGUCACAUCUUGGAACCCUGUUUAGAGAGAUUAAAUUCCAGCUAGAUAUAUCCUUUGAUAGCUUCAAUAUUUCUGUUUGCCCACGGGCAUGUAAUGUUGUAGCACAUAAUUUAGCAGCGCGUGGUGCAAGCUCAGGAAUUGGCAGUCAUCAAGUCCGGCUGGGCCAAUUCCCUCCUGAUGUAACCAACAUUGUAUCUGGGAUCUCUGCCAGUAUGGUGCGGUAA
rnacentral:rRNA from 1 species